AGUGAACGCUGGCGGUAGGCCUAACACAUGCAAGUCGAACGGCAGCACAGGAGAGCUUGCUCUCUGGGUGGCGAGUGGCGGACGGGUGAGGAAUACAUCGGAAUCUACUUUUUCGUGGGGGAUAACGUAGGGAAACUUACGCUAAUACCGCAUACGACCUACGGGUGAAAGCAGGGGACCUUCGGGCCUUGCGCGAUUGAAUGAGCCGAUGUCGGAGUAGCUAGUUGGCGGGGUAAAGGCCCACCAAGGCGACGAUCCGUAGCUGGUCUGGGAGGCUGAUCAGCCAAACUGGAAGUGAGACACGGUCCAGACUCCUACGGGAGGCAGCAGUGGAGAAUAUGGGACAAUGGGCGCAAGCCUGUUCCAGCCAUACCGCGUGGGUGAAGAAGGCCUUCGGGUUGUAAAGCCCUUUUGUUGGGAAAGAAAUCCAGCUGGCUAAUACCCGGUUGGGAUGACGGUACCCAAAGAAUAAGCACCGGCUAACUUCGUGCCAGCAGCCGCCGUAA
rnacentral:rRNA from 1 species